rnacentral:rRNA from 1 species
UACGGGGGGGGCAAGCGUUGUUCGGAAUUACUGGGCGUAAAGGGCUCGUAGGUGGCCAACUAAGUCGGACGUGAAAUCCCUCAGCUUAACUGGGGAACUGCGUCCGAUACUGGAUGGCUUGAGUUCGGGAGAGGGAUGCGGAAUUCCAGGUGUAGCGGUGAAAUGCGUAGAUAUCUGGAGGAACACCGGUGGCGAAGGCGGCAUCCUGGACCGAUACUGACGCUGAGGAGCGAAAGCCAGGGGAGCAAACGGG